UACGGAGGGUGCAAGCGUUAUCCGGAUUCACUGGGUUUAAAGGGUGCGUAGGUGGGCAGGUAAGUCAGUGGUGAAAUCUCCGGGCUUAACCCGGAAACUGCCAUUGAUACUAUCUGUCUUGAAUACCGUGGAGGUGAGCGGAAUAUGUCAUGUAGCGGUGAAAUGCUUAGAUAUGACAUAGAACACCAAUUGCGAAGGCAGCUCACUACACGUAUAUUGACACUGAGGCACGAAAGCGUGGGGAUCAAACAGG
rnacentral:rRNA from 1 species